rnacentral:rRNA from 1 species
AGCUGUAGUCAUGCAGAAAUAAGGCGAAACCGCGAAUGGCUCAUUAAAUCAGUUAUGGUUCCUUAGAUCGUUUCUUCCUACUUGGAUAACUGUGGCAAUUCUAGAGCUAAUACAUGCAGUGAGCCUGGAACCCUUUGGGUUUACGGGUGCUUUUAUUAGACCAAGAUCGAUCGGGUUUCGGCCCGUAUUGUGUGGUGACUCUGGAUAACUUUGUGCUGAUCGCAUGGCCAUGAGCCGGCGACGUUUCUUUCAAGUGUCUGCCUUAUCAACUUUCGAUGGUAGGUUACUUGCUUACCAUGGUUGUUACGGGUAACGGAGAAUCAGGGUUCGAUUCCGGAGAGGGAGCCUGAGAAACGGCUACCACAUCCAAGGAAGGCAGCAGGCGCGCAAAUUACCCACUCCCGGCACGGGGAGGUAGUGACGAAAAAUAACAAUACGGGACUCUUUUGAGGCCCCGUAAUUGAAAUGAGUACACUCUAAAUCCUUUAACGAGGAUCAAUUGGAGGGCAAGUCUGGUCCCAGCAGCCA